rnacentral:rRNA from 1 species
AAGGCUCAGACAGCCAGGAUGUUGGCUUAGAAGCAGCCAUCAUUUAAAGAAAGCGUAAUAGCUCACUGGUCGAGUCGGCCUGCGCGGAAGAUGUAACGGGGCUAAGCUAUACACCGAAGCUGCGGCUACGUACUAUGUACGUGGGGUAGGGGAGCGUUCUGUAAGCCGUUGAAGGUGGUCUGUAAGGGCUGCUGGAGGUAUCAGAAGUGCGAAUGCUGACAUGAGUAACGAUAAAGGGAGUGAAAAACUCCCUCGCCGGAAGACCAAGGGUUCCUGUCCAACGUUAAUCGGGGCAGGGUAAGUCGACCCCCUAAGGCGAGGCCGAAAGGCGUAGUCGAUGGGAAACGGGUUAAUAUUCCCGUACUUCUUACAAUUGCGAUGGGGGGACGGAGAAGGCUAGGUGGGCCUGGCGACGGUUGUCCAGGUUCAAGUACGUAGGCGGAAG